UACGUAGGGGGCGAGCGUUGUCCGGAAUUAUUGGGCGUAAAGAGCGUGUAGGCGGUCCGGUAAGUCCGCUGUGAAAGUCCAGGGCUCAACCCUGGAAUGCCGGUGGAUACUGCCGGGCUAGAGUCCGGAAGAGGCGAGUGGAAUUCCUGGUGUAGCGGUGAAAUGCGCAGAUAUCAGGAAGAACACCGAUGGCGAAGGCAGCUCUCUGGGACGGUACUGACGCUGAGACGCGAAAGC
rnacentral:rRNA from 1 species